ACCUUAGCCAGAUCUCAGACCGCGCUUAGACAUAGGAACCCCGAGGUUGAGGAGAACUAAACAACGGGAGUCAUUCAGGGUGACCUUGCUCCACAUUCACACCAGUGGUCUGGAGAACAGGAUCCUAACGGACCAUGAUGUGCUCCCAAGCAAACCAUUACAGGCUUAACACUCGCUACCCACCCUAUGCAGACAUCCCCCUGCUGGGGUUCUGUUCCUCGGUUGUGAUUACCCUGCACGUUUAUCUACACUGCUGCUCCCACAGAUCCAGCCGAGAGACUGAAUGCCAUUUCCUCGGACCUGCCUGGGACAACAAAGCUGGCUUCCUCCAGACACUUGGUCUGACUGAAGACUCUGGAGACACACGCUGAGACCCACAGAUGGCAGACCUGGGACCUUCCAGAUACAGAUGAACUCUCUCGCCAAAGUCAAAUGGCUACUAAACAUGGGGAAAGUCACAUGAUAAUAAGGAAAACAUGAUGUCUAUCUAGAUUAAUCAAAUGUUGUUUAAAGCUGAUGUUAAUACCCUCACAAACUGUACAACCUACAGAAUAAUUAAUUGGUUCAAUAAUCCCUUGUCUUCCCAAACUGCA